AGAAGAUGGAGGUAAUUCAAGAGUCGAAUCAUAGAUAGCUUGCGUACGGAAAGGAAUCAGAGGCCUCUAGGACGAGAAUGGAUGUAAUGUUGUGGCAGGUUCACCCGGUGCUUCAGCCUGUCUCUUCGGUUGUGACGGCCACCUAGAGGGCCCUUUUCCCCUAUUUCGGAACUAUAUGACAACGCAUGUGUUCGUGCUCCAACACACGGCGUUUCUCUUCCAACAUUAACGAUUGUGAAUAUCUUUUCGAACAGAUUCUACUUGUAGUUUUUCGAGGGUCUGAUCCACAUAGACGUCGUAACCAGGCAAACGCUUGCGUACAGACUUGCAUGAAGUAUGUAUCUGCUGAACGAGUGUCUUGCAAACCGUCCACUGUUUUCGAGAUACAUGCUGCUUCUCUUCAUUCCUUUAUCUCAGGCCACUUCAAUGCUUGGUACACAAUCCAUGUAGUCGUCACUCCAUGAACUCGACUUUUCGAUUGAGCCGCUCGCGUCCACCGUCGGCUUUGCGAACCCGUCGCUGUCCGUCCUCUGGCGACACCUGCGUUUUUAACUGAUGUGGAAUAACCUUAAUGUGUAGUAUAUUGAAAGGCAACACUUUCAGCUGUCCUAAGCAGUCCAGUGGGGUGGUGGUGUACAGUUUCUUGAUGAAGCAAUGUGUGAAUGAAGUUGUGUGCAGUCCCGUUAAGGUGUUGAGGGGG
rnacentral:lncRNA from 1 species